AUUGAACGCUGGCGGCAUGCCUUACACAUGCAAGUCGAACGGUAACAGGUCUUCGGAUGCUGACGAGUGGCGAACGGGUGAGUAAUACAUCGGAACGUGCCCGAUCGUGGGGGAUAACGAGGCGAAAGCUUUGCUAAUACCGCAUACGAUCUACGGAUGAAAGCGGGGGAUCUUCGGACCUCGCGCGGACGGAGCGGCCGAUGGCAGAUUAGGUAGUUGGUGGGAUAAAAGCUUACCAAGCCGACGAUCUGUAGCUGAUCUGAGAGGAUGAUCAGCCACACUGGGACUGAGACACGGCCCAGACUCCUACGGGAGGCAGCAGUGGGGAAUUUUGGACAAUGGGCGAAAGCCUGAUCCAGCCAUGCCGCGUGCAGGAUGAAGGCCUUCGGGUUGUAAACUGCUUUUGUACGGAACGAAAAGCCUCUUUCUAAUAAAGAGGGGUCAUGACGGUACCGUAAGAAUAAGCACCGGCUAACUACGUG
rnacentral:rRNA from 1 species